GUUUCAUUUAAAUUUAUAUAGAAUUUUAUUUUUUAGUUAAAAAGCUAAAAUAAAUUUAAAAGACGAGAAGACCCUAUAAAUCUUUAUAUUUUUAGUUAAUUUUAUAAAUUUAGGUAAUUUUUAUUUUUUUAAUUAAAUUUAUUUUAUUGGGGUGAUAUUAAAAUUUAAUAAACUUUUAAUUWUAUWAUUUCAUAAAUAAAUGUUAUUUUGAUCCAUUAUUAAUGAUUAAAAAUUUAAGUUACUUUAGGGAUAACAGCGUAAUUUUUUUAGAGAGUUCUUAUUGAUAAAAAAGUUUGCGACCUCGAUGUUGGAUUAAGAUAUAAUUUUAAAUGCAGAAGUUUAAAUUUUAAGUCUGUUCGACUUUUAAAUUCUUACAUGAUCUGAGUUCAAACCGGUGUAAGCCAGGUUGGUUUCUAUCUUUAAAUAAUUAAAAUAUUUUAGUACGAAAGGAUUAAAUAUUUAAAUAAAUAUUUUUUUAUAUGAAU
rnacentral:rRNA from 1 species